rnacentral:rRNA from 1 species
CCUACGGGCGGCAGCAGUGGGGAAUAUUGCACAAUGGGGGAAACCCUGAUGCAGCGACGCCGCGUGAGUGAAGAAGUAUUUCGGUAUGUAAAGCUCUAUUAGCAGGGAAGAAAUAGCGACCUUUGGGUCGCCUGCCGGUACCUGACUUAGAAGCCCCGGCUAACUACGUGCCCGCAGCCGCGGUAAUCCGUAGGGGGCAAGCGUUAUCCGGGUUUACUGGGUGUAAAGGGAGCGUAGACGGCAGGACAAGUCUGAAGUGAAAUGCCGGGGCUUAACCCCGGAACUGCUUUGGAAACUGUGCAGCUAGAGUGCAGGAGAGGUAAGUGGAAUGCCUAGUGUAGCGGUGAAAUGCGUAGAUAUUAGGAAGAACACCAGUGGCGAAGGCGGCUUACUGGACUGUAACUGACGUUGAGGCUCGAAAGCGUGGGGAGCAAACAGGAUUAGAUACCCGAGUAGUC